rnacentral:rRNA from 1 species
GGGUUGUGAGGUUAAGCGACUAAGCGUACACGGUGGAUGCCCUGGCAGUCAGAGGCGAUGAAGGACGUGCUAAUCUGCGAUAAGCGUCGGUAAGGUGAUAUGAACCGUUAUAACCGGCGAUUUCCGAAUGGGGAAACCCAGUGUGAUUCGUCACACUAUCAUUAACUGAAUCCAUAGGUUAAUGAGGCGAACCGGGGGAACUGAAACAUCUAAGUACCCCGAGGAAAAGAAAUCAACCGAGAUUCCCCCUGUAGCGGCGAGCGAACGGGGAGCAGCCCAGAGCCUGAAUCAGUAUGUGUGUUAGUGGAAGCGUCUGGAAAGGCGCGCGAUACAGGGUGACAGCCCCGUACACAAAAAUGCACAUGCUGUGAGCUCGAUGAGUAGGGCGGGACACGUGGUAUCCUGUCUGAAUAUGGGGGGACCAUCCUCCAAGGCUAAAUACUCCUGACUGACCGAUAGUGAACCAGUACCGUGAGGGAAAGGCGAAAAGAACCCCGGCGAGGGGAGUGAAAAAGAACCUGAAACCGUGUACGUACAAGCAGUGGGAGCACGCUUAGGCGUGUGACUGCGUACCUUUUGUAUAAUGGGUCAGCGACUUAUAUUCUGUAGCAAGGUUAACCGAAUAGGGGAGCCGAAGGGAAACCGAGUCUUAACUGGGCGUUAAGUUGCAGGGUAUAGACCCGAAACCCGGUGAUCUAGCCAUGGGCAGGUUGAAGGUUGGGUAACACUAACUGGAGGACCGAACCGACUAAUGUUGAAAAAUUAGCGGAUGACUUGUGGCUGGGGGUGAAAGGCCAAUCAAACCGGGAGAUAGCUGGUUCUCCCCGAAAGCUAUUUAGGUAGCGCCUCGUGAAUUCAUCUCCGGGGGUAGAGCACUGUUUCGGCAAGGGGGUCAUCCCGACUUACCAACCCGAUGCAAACUGCGAAUACCGGAGAAUGUUAUCACGGGAGGCACACGGCGGGUGCUAACGUCCGUCGUGAAGAGGGAAACAACCCAGACCGCCAGCUAAGGUCCCAAAGUCAUGGUUAAGUGGGAAACGAUGUGGGAAGGCCCAGACAGCCAGGAUGUUGGCUUAGAAGCAGCCAUCAUUUAAAGAAAGCGUAAUAGCUCACUGGUCGAGUCGGCCUGCGCGGAAGAUGUAACGGGGCUAAACCAUGCACCGAAGCUGCGGCAGCGACGCUUAUGCGUUGUUGGGUAGGGGAGCGUUCUGUAAGCCUGUGAAGGUGUACUGUGAGGUAUGCUGG